rnacentral:rRNA from 1 species
GACGAACGCUGGCGGCGUGCUUAACACAUGCAAGUCGAACGGUAAGGCCCUUCGGGGUACACGAGUGGCGAACGGGUGAGUAACACGUGGGUGAUCUGCCCUGCACUUCGGGAUAAGCCUGGGAAACUGGGUCUAAUACCGGAUAGGACCACUGCCUGCAUGGGUGGUGGUGGAAAGCUUUUGCGGUGUGGGAUGGGCCCGCGGCCUAUCAGCUUGUUGGUGGGGUGAUGGCCUACCAAGGCGACGACGGGUAGCCGGCCUGAGAGGGUGACCGGCCACACUGGGACUGAGAUACGGCCCAGACUCCUACGGGAGGCAGCAGUGGGGAAUAUUGCACAAUGGAGGCAACUCUGAUGCAGCAACACUGCGUGAAGGAUGAAGGUUUUCGGAUCGUAAACUUCUUUUAUCUGGGAAUAAUCUUGAAGGUACCAGAUGAAUAAGCACCGGCUAACUACGUGCCAGCCGCCGCAGUAA